rnacentral:tmRNA from 1 species
GGGGGCGUAAAGGAUUCGACGGGGAUUGUGAGCCACGGUAAGCGAGUAGCGGUGCGGACCCGCUUUAAAAGCCGUAAACUUUAAAAAUAAACGACAACAAUACUGUUGCUGUUGCAGCCUAAUUAGGCUGCCGUCUUUACCCGUAGUACCGCGGACGGGAUAAAGGCGUCGAUUAGCGGUGAACGUGAACGAAGGCGUGCCGCCGCUUUCGUCAUGACCAAGCGGCUACCGUAAUCAGCAGCCUGCCUUUCGGCGGCUGAUGAGGGGAAUCCCAAAAGAUCGGCUGCACUCGGAGAAAGCUGUGGCAAGUGAUUUUCGGACGGGGGUUCGAUUCCCCCCGCCUCCACCA